rnacentral:rRNA from 1 species
CAUGCAAGUCGAACGGUAACAGGGUGCUUGCACCGCUGACGAGUGGCGAACGGGUGAGUAAUGCGUCGGAAUGUACCGUGUAAUGGGGGAUAGCUCGGCGAAAGCCGGAUUAAUACCGCAUACGCCCUGAGGGGGAAAGCGGGGGAUCGAAAGACCUCGCGUUAUACGAGCAGCCGACGUCUGAUUAGCUAGUUGGUGAGGUAAGAGCUCACCAAGGCGACGAUCAGUAGCGGGUCUGAGAGGAUGAUCCGCCACACUGGGACUGAGACACGGCCCAGACUCCUACGGGAGGCAGCAGUGGGGAAUUUUGGACAAUGGGGGCAACCCUGAUCCAGCCAUGCCGCGUGUCUGAAGAAGGCCUUYGGGUUGUAAAGGACUUUUGUCAGGGAGGAAAUCCCGCUGGUUAAUACCCGGCGGGGAUGACAGUACCUGAAGWAUAAGCACCGGCUAA